rnacentral:rRNA from 1 species
GAUGAACGCUGGCGGCGUGCCUAAUACAUGCAAGUCGAGCGAACGGACGAGAAGCUUGCUUCUCUGAUGUUAGCGGCGGACGGGUGAGUAACACGUGGAUAACCUACCUAUAAGACUGGGAUAACUUCGGGAAACCGGAGCUAAUACCGGAUAAUAUUUUGAACCGCAUGGUUCAAAAGUGAAAGACGGUCUUGCUGUCACUUAUAGAUGGAUCCGCGCUGCAUUAGCUAGUUGGUAAGGUAACGGCUUACCAAGGCAACGAUGCAUAGCCGACCUGAGAGGGUGAUCGGCCACACUGGAACUGAGACACGGUCCAGACUCCUACGGGAGGCAGCAGUAGGGAAUCUUCCGCAAUGGGCGAAAGCCUGACGGAGCAACGCCGCGUGAGUGAUGAAGGUCUUCGGAUCGUAGAACUCUGUUAUUAGGGAAGAACAUAUGUGUAAGUAACUGUGCACAUCUUGACGGUACCUAAUCAGAAAGCCACGGCUAACUACGUGCCAGCAGCCGCGGUAAUACGUAGGUGGCAAGCGUUAUCCGGAAUUAUGGGCGUAAAGCGCGCGUAGCGGUUUUUUAGUCUGAUGUGAAAGCCCACGGCUCAACCGUGGAGGGUCAUUGGAAACUGGAAAACUUGAGUGCAGAAGAGGAAAGUGGAAUUCCAUGUGUAGCGGUGAAAUGCGCAGAGAUAUGGAGGAACACCAGUGGCGAAGGCGACUUUCUGGUCUGUAACUGACGCUGAUGUGCGAAAGCGUGGGGAUCAAACAGGAUUAGAUACCCUGGUAGUCCACGCCGUAAACGAUGAGUGCUAAGUGUUAGGGGGUUUCCGCCCCUUAGUGCUGCAGCUAACGCAUUAAGCACUCCGCCUGGGGAGUACGACCGCAAGGUUGAAACUCAAAGGAAUUGACGGGGACCCGCACAAGCGGUGGAGCAUGUGGUUUAAUUCGAAGCAACGCGAAGAACCUUACCAAAUCUUGACAUCCUUUGACAACUCUAGAGAUAGAGCUUUCCCCUUCGGGGGACAAAGUGACAGGUGGUGCAUGGUUGUCGUCAGCUCGUGUCGUGAGAUGUUGGGUUAAGUCCCGCAACGAGCGCAACCCUUAAGCUUAGUUGCCAUCAUUAAGUUGGGCACUCUAAGUUGACUGCCGGUGACAAACCGGAGGAAGGUGGGGAUGACGUCAAAUCAUCAUGCCCCUUAUGAUUUGGGCUACACACGUGCUACAAUGGACAAUACAAAGGGCAGCGAAACCGUGAGGUCAAGCAAAUCCCAUAAAGUUGUUCUCAGUUCGGAUUGUAGUCUGCAACUCGACUACAUGAAGCUGGAAUCGCUAGUAAUCGUAGAUCAGCAUGCUACGGUGAAUACGUUCCCGGGUCU